rnacentral:rRNA from 1 species
GAGUUUGAUCUUGGCUCAGGAUGAACGCUAGCGGCAGGCUUAACACAUGCAAGUCGAGGGGUAGAAGGAGCUUGCUCCUUUGAGACCGGCGCACGGGUGCGUAACGCGUAUGCAAUCUACCUUGUACAGGGGGAUAGCCCAGAGAAAUUUGGAUUAAUACCCCAUAGUGUAAUGAAACGGCAUCGUUUAUUACUAAAGUUCCAACGGUACAAGAUGAGCAUGCGUCCCAUUAGCUAGUUGGUGUGGUAACGGCAUACCAAGGCAACGAUGGGUAGGGGUCCUGAGAGGGAGAUCCCCCACACUGGUACUGAGACACGGACCAGACUCCUACGGGAGGCAGCAGUGAGGAAUAUUGGUCAAUGGGCGCAAGCCUGGAACCAGUCAUGCCGCGUGCAGGAUGACGGUCCUAUGGAUUG